rnacentral:misc_RNA from 1 species
GAUGAAGAACGUAGCGAAAUGCGAUAAGUAAUGUGAAUUGCAGAAUUCAGUGAAUCAUCGAAUCUUUGAACGCACAUUGCGCCCCUUGGUAUUCCGAGGGGCAUGCCUGUUCGAGCGUCAUUAUAACCCCUCAAGCUCAGCUUGGUGUUGGGGCCUGCUGCACUGGCAGCCCUUAAAAUCAGUGGCGGCGCCAUCUGGCUCUAAGCGUAGUAAUUCUUCUCGCUAUGGAGUCCUGGUGGAUGCUUGCCAUCAACCCCCAAUUUUUCUAUGGUUGACCUCGGAUCAGGUAGGGAUACCCGCUGAACUUAAGCAUAUCAAUGCGGAGGA